rnacentral:rRNA from 1 species
CCUACGGGAGACAGCAGUGAGGAAUAUUGGUCAAUGGACGCAAGUCUGAACCAGCCAUGCCGCGUGCAGGAUGACGGCGCUAUGAGUUGUAAACUGCUUUUGUACGAGGGUAAACCCCGAUACGUGUAUCGGGUUGAAAGUAUCGUACGAAUAAGGAUCGGCUAACUCCGUGCCAGCAGCCGCGGUAAUACGGAGGAUCCGAGCGUUAUCCGGAUUUAUUGGGUUUAAAGGGUGCGUAGGCGGUUUGAUAAGUUAGAGGUGAAAUGUCGGGGCUCAAACCCGAAACUGCCUCUAAUACUGGUAGACUAGAGAAUAGUUGCGGUAGGCGGAAUGUAUGGUGUAGCGGUGAAAUGCUUAGAUAUCAUACAGAACACCGAUUGCGAAGGCAGCUUACCAAACUAUAUCUGACGUUGAGGCACGAAAGCGUGGGUAGCAAACAGGAUUAGAUACCCGGGUAGUC